rnacentral:rRNA from 1 species
AAGUCUGAUGUGAAAGCCCACGGCUCAACCGUGGAAGGUCAUUGGAAACUGGAUCACUUGAAUAUAGAAGAGGAAAGUGGAAUUCCAUGUGUAGCGGUGAAAUGCGUAGAUAUAUGGAGGAACACCAGUGGCGAAGGCGACUUUCUGGUCUAUUAUUGACGCUGAGGCUCGAAAGCAUGGGUAGCAAACAGGAUUAGAUACCCUGGUAGUCCAUGCCGUAAACGAUGAGUGCUAGGUGUUGGGGGGCUUCCACCCCUCGGUGCCGAAGUUAACGCAUUAAGCACUCCGCCUGGGGAGUACGGCCGCAAGGCUUAAACUCAAAGGAAUUGACGGGGACCCGCACAAGCGGUGGAGCAUGUGGUUUAAUUCGAAGCAACGCGAAGAACCUUACCAGCUCUUGACAUCUUCUGCCAACUCUAGAGAUAGAGUGUUCCCUUCGGGGACAGAAUGACAGGUGGUGCAUGGUUGUCGUCAGCUCGUGUCGUGAGAUGUUGGGUUAAGUCCCGUAACGAGCGCAACCCUUGUUGCCAGUUGCCAGCAUUUAGUUGGGCACUCUGGCGAGACUGCCGGUGACAAACCGGAGGAAGGUGGGGAUGACGUCAAAUCAGCAUGCCCCUUAUGAGCUGGGCUACACACGUGCUACAAUGGAUGGUACAGCGAGUCGCUAAACCGCGAGGUCAAGCUAAUCUCCUAAAGCCAUUCUCAGUCCGGAUUGCAGGCUGCAACUCGCCUGCAUGAAGCCGGAAUCGCUAGUAAUCGUG